rnacentral:lncRNA from 1 species
CCUUGCCCCAGCAGAGACCCACGCCAUUGCAGUGACAGUGCCAGAUCCUUAACCCACUAUGCCACAAGGGAACUCCAUGUUCUUAAAUCACACAUUGGAGCAGCAACAGCCAAAUCCAGGUGAGACUACACCAGGCUCAAUCCUGUUCCUACUUCAUCUUCCUGCAUUAAGUGUUUCAAACACGUCUUAGGAUCCCGUUUCAGCUACGGCCACUUAAAUAGAAUACAAAUCAGCCUUGAAACUUAACAGAAUGUUACUUUAUAAUGUCAUCUUCCUUUUAAAACUAGCCAGUUUCAAACCAGUCUUCAUCCUCUUUAAAAUUUCAAAAGUGGAAGCAGAAAAAAAGGGUUGGGAAAUAAAUCACCUGUGUUAUCUUAGUGAUCCCUCACUAGUUCUGAGAUCCUUAAGUAAAAUAAUACUUGGUGUUAUUUUCCAUCUGAAGGACUCAUAAAUUUACUAGGUUUGACCUUCUUUUCAGAUUUUAUUGUCUUUAUAUUCUCUUAAGCUAGUAAGUCUUCAAAAAAUUUUACCAAAUGGAAAACUGGUGUGCAGAGGUCAAGUGACUCAGAGCAAGUGAAGCAGAACUGAGUGGUGAAAUUUAACCUGAGUCUGAAGUUUCAUAACACACCAAGAUCCAGUCUCCUUUAUAAUAUACUGACUUAGAAGGUGGAAAGACGGUAACAACUGCUUGGUGCUGGUAAACUUUAAGAUCACCAAUGACCUCAUUUAUGGCUAAUUGAUUACCUCAUAGUAAUGUAAAUUAGUGCUUUAAUAUGGAAUCUUUGCUGUGUAUUAAGCAGGGUAAUUUAAUUAGCCUCAGUAAUUCAGUAGUCUUUACAAAUCCUAAACUUGCAGAAUAUUUUCUAAAUUUGCUCUUUAAUAACACUAGAUCACUGCAUAGGAUUAUUUGAAACCUGCUUAUCAGGAUGUGCUUUAAAGGGUUCUUUUAUUUUCCUUUCUGCAUCUAAAAUCUUGGAUGUAGAAUUACCCAAACUUCUUCUUGUUACUGAAAUUCAAAUAAGUGAAGCAAGGGAAACAGAUGGUAUAAAAAUGUGAGGCAGUGACUUUACCAAAAGUCCAGUUAUUAUCAUCAGUGAGAGUAUUAUUUUUAUUGUUUUUAACGAAGUUAAAGAAAGUAGAUUCAUUUACUUUGAACUGACACUUUUUUUCCAGACUCUACCUUGCAUAAUAGGGUGCUAGGAUGUUAAUGGUUUCCUCUCUAAAAGUUACUGUCUUUCUCACAUCUAAGGAUUGGAAAUCAUCCCCACCCCAUGGUGUAUCAUGUUUACAUUAGGAGCUGUCAUCGUUACUUCCUCUUUCACCGCUCCACAGGUGCUUCUUCCUGAGGUUCAACCCAACCUGUUCUAAGUCAGCAAACAUUUGACUUCUUUUAUUAGCUUUAAUAUAAGUCAAAAUCACACCCAGGAGGCUGGAGUGUGGUAAAAUAGACAUAAAAUCUCCUAACACCCUCAUAGUACACCAAUCAAUACACACCCUCUUUUAUGUGAGAAAGAAUGACAGAAAUGAUCUGACAAGGAACAGUCUGGCUUCUAGAGCCAAGGCACACUGACGUUUAAGAAAAACUGACGUAACAGAAUGAAUUUAUUUAAAGCUAGAGGAGUCGUCAAUACCAAACCUAGCCUAAACCCCCUGGAUUGUGACCACAGCACACAGAUAUGUUUCAGCUAUAAUGUUUAACUAAUGAAGUCACAGCUUGAGAUCCUUUUAGUUGAACAAACACUUAUGCAUGACCUACUCUUUGCAGGCAUCUUCGGGAGAUAUAAUUCUUGCUCUCUGUGAAUCUAAAAUGUCAUCUUUCUAAUUUUCAACUAAAUAUGUAAUUCUGUUUUUCCCCAAUUCUAUUUUCUUAAAUCUCUUCAUGUAAGACUGUAUCCUAGAAGUCAUUGAGUAUGAUAUUCACAAAAUUCCAGCUAGUAAUUUUAUCUUUUGCUCUCAAUUCAUCUCCCCACUGGAAGAUAAAGACCGGGGUGGUGAAAGGGUGAGUUGGUGAAUAGGAAUAAUUGCAGUCUACUCUCCUACCAAACUGAAAUCACAUCAGGCAUGUGACCUUAACAUAUAAAAUCAAAAUUAGUAUAUUCACAAUGUCUAUGCCUCUCCAAAUUUUUCACCUUUUCAUUAUUAGCUUUCUGACCCGUUUUUGGCAGAUGAAAUUGAGACUUAAAAUGCGAAGUUCAUAAUGCAGUUUUAAAAUCAGUAAAUUUGUUUUCCAGUCAUAUUUUAGAUUGCUAGAUUGUCUGCCCAUUGUUUCUCCAAUUAAACCCAAGAACACAUACAUGUAUGCCUACACACACAAACACAUCCAAUGUGGAGGCUCUGGUAGUCAGUCUAUCCUCAGGGUUAAUGGGACAUUUUUAGGAUCUGUUGCUGGCCUGAGAUGAGCAUGCAGGAUUCACACCCACAGGGAAGCAAAGGGGAUAGGUGUGUGCAGAGGGAGGUGCUGAACUCUAAAACAGACCUAAGAAGGGCCUGAGCCAGUGCCUCAAGGAAACUCUGGACCUGGGGUGGCCCUUCGGCCUUGUCCACCUGGCCCUUAUACAGGUAUCCUUCAUUUUUCAAAAGUUGCUUUCCUCCACUUCACUUUUAUGAAACAGCUAUAUUAGUUCCUAUUUUUGCUCAUCUGAAGAAAUCCAAAGAGGGUUUUUACUUUUAUGAAAGAAAGGUGAAAAGUGAAAAUAGUAUUCAGCAUUGCUUUUGCAGUGAUGCAACCUUUACAGUGACCACACGCACCUUGAGCAGAGGAGGGAGAGUGGCAUCGCCAAGCUCCUUCCCUGGGAACUACACUCAGGACCUCAGCAUCAGGCCACCAUAGUUUUGAACUGUGUUGUUGAACAUCUAUGCUCUAUCUUGAUUUACUUUGUGCAUCUGUUAGCAAGAUGCGUCCUAAGGUAAUUGCUUCUUUGCUUUAUGCGCUUUCAGUUCAUGAGAGUUUUCACAGAAGGCAUUCCCAUUAUGGCUCAGCAGGUUAAGAACCCAACUCCUAUCCAUGAGGAUGAGAGUUUGAUCCCCAGCUUCACUCAGUGAGCUAAGGAUCCUGCGUUGCUGUGAGCUGUGGUGUAGGUCACAGACACAGCUUGGAUCUGGGAUUGCUGUGGCUGUGGUAUAAGCUGGCAGCUGCAGCUCUGAUUUGAAGACCCCCUAGCCUGGGAACUUCCAUCUGCCACAGGUGUGGCACUAAAAAGAAGAAAGUUUUCAUAGGAACGGUCUCCUUUCAGGUAGCUGAGAAACCUGUAUUUACCAGGUCACUGGAUAAGGACUGCCCAGGGAGAAGGCAUGAUCUUGGACAAGGUACCUUUCUUAGCUGAGGGCUGAGAGCCAGCAGUUACAACAUUCUUGGCAGCAGGAGAAUAGGUGCCUCAAACUUGACAGGGAGACUGGGCUGCACCCCACGGUGUCCACCACAGAAUCACGGUAAAAAUGUGGCCAAGGAAGGUCAUCUCUGGCUUCUGUCUUCAAGCCUUUGUUUUGUUUUGGCCUUUCGAGAGUGUCUAGACUUUCCCUCUCUUCACUCUGUUUUUUGUUUUCGAUACUUUAAAUUUUUCCCAAUUUAAAGAUGGGAAGUAAAGCUAAACCAAUACUUGACUGAGAACUCCUUAAAUUACUCUGGAUAAGUAUGCUUUGCUCCCAAGGGAACUUUUCUGAACCAAUCUGGGCUUCUGAGAAAAGUCAAAUUGCGUUUAGGAGGUGGGGACAUUGGGGGCUGUCGUGCAGCAUGAUUGGUGUGAUGGUGGAGACUGCCAUGGCCCUGAAAUCAUCUUCAGUCAUAACUACCUCUGAGCACAGGAGUGCUUAGCUGUCAGUGUUGCUCAUAUGGCCCUUGGAAUGACCUGUCCCCUCUUUGUCAUUGCUUUGUUUCUGAUUGGAAUUCCCAGGCCUGACUGCCUGAUGCCUCAGGCACCUUGAAGUCAGGUCAGCCUACUGUUUUCCAUGUUCAAGACCGGGCAUACAUGUGAGGCUGGCCUCAUUCCUACCCUGGUUUUUGCCUAGUAAGGGAAAUAAAUUAUACCUAAUAUAGCUUCAGUGGAAGACAUGACAGUAGUAAAUUGACCCAGGGAUUGCCAAAUAGCAGCUGAUAACAAGAUUGAAGGAUGAAUGUGUGCCAAUGAGGUAAAAGGGUGCUAAACAGGGAAGUGGAUGGGCAGCUGUAGAAUGCAGAAUUUCUAAAAUAGUCUCGGCUCCCCAAACCUGCCAAUCCUAAUCCCCAGAACCUGUGAAGAUGAUGCAAUAUCAGUUCCAUGAUUUUCUUGUGAAAAACACAGUUUAUUUCCUUACAGAGAUUAUCCUGCAUUAUGCAGACAGACCUAAUGUAAUCACAAGAGCUUUUAAUGGAAUGCUUUCUCCAGCUGGAGCAGAAAAGAAAGAUCCGAAGCAUGAAAGAACUUGACCCCAUUGUUGCUUUGAAGAUAGAGGAGACCUCGUGAGAAGAAAUGCUCAGGGCCUCAAGCAGCAGAGAAUCCCAGCUGACAUCCAACAAGGAAAUGGGCCCUCAGUUCUACAACUGCAAGGUGGACAACCUCUUUGAGCCCGAAAGUGUGUUCUCCACCCAAGCCUCCAGAUAGGAACACAACCCGCCAAAUCUUUGAUUUUGGCCUGAAACCCUGAUCAUGGAACCCAGCCUGACCUGCCUGGACUUCUAAGCUACAGAACUGUGAGCUUAUGGAUUAGUGUGUUGUUGUUGUUGUCUGUCUUUUGUUUUUUUAGGGCCACACCCAUGGUAUAUGGAGAUUCCCAGGCUAGGAGUUGAAUCAGAACUACAGCUGCCAGCCUACGCCACAGCCACAGCAACUCAGGAUCCAAGCCCCCUUUGCGACCUACACCACAGCUCACAGCAACCCCGGAUCCUCAACCCACUGAGCGAAGCCAGGAAUUGAACUUGCACCCUCAUGGAUCCUAGUGGGGUUGAUUAACCACUGAACCACAACGGGAACUCCAGAUUGGUGUUGUUUUAAGCUGCUUAAUUUGUUACUGGGGCAAUAGAGAGCUAAUAUAGUAGCCAAAAUCAAGGUUACUCCUCACUAGUUUGAAAAGCACUGUUUCUUUGGAGAAAACUAGAAUCUGCCUCUGAAACCAGUCUGUCAGAAGGAAGGAGUGGACUGAGAUCUUAAAUUUAUUGUGCAUCAUUAUAUGCUGACUUGAGCUGCAACUUUAUGUACCAAACCAUUUAUUUUGAACAUGUUUCUUAGGUAGCAGAUGCUGUUAGUAUCCUAAUAUCAUCUCCAUGAGCUGCAAACUGGUAGUCACAGAAACUAAGUGACUGGUCCAAUGAAUUCUGAAUCCUAGUACACAUCAGAAUCACCUAGUGAGCUUUUAAAAUACCCUGAUGUUCAGACCUGAAUUGGUGAGGUCUAGCUUCUGGCACUUUUUUUUUUAAUUUAGUUCUAAUCACAGGGUUUAUCUAUAUAUUUGUUUUUCUUCCAGUUUUAUUGAGCUGUAAUUGACACACAUCACUGUAUAAGUUUAAGGUACACAGAAUAAUAAUUUCACUUAAAUGUAUCGUGAAAUGAUGACCGCAGUAAGUUUAGUGGACUUUCAUCAUCUCAUAUAGAUAUAACAUUAAAGAAACAAAAAAAAGCCUUUUUUCCUUUGGUGAGAACUCAGGAUUUACUCUCUUUCAUUUGUAACAUACAGCAGUACUAUCUCUAGCAUGGUGUACAUUACAUCCCUAGUACUUAUUUAUAACUGGAAGUUUGUACCUUUUGACUACCUUCCUCCAAUCUUCCCUCCCCCACAUCCUCUAACCCUGCUGAUCACAAAUCUGAUCUAUUUUUCUAUGAGUUCAUAUGCUUCUUUUUUUGCGGGGGUGCUGCGCUCACAGCAUAUGGAAGUUCCCAGGCCACAGAUCAAACCCACACACCACAGCAGUGACCCAAGCCACCACAGUGACAACACCAGAUUCUUAACCUUAUGUGGCCACAAGAGAACUACGAGUUUGUAUACUUUUGAAGUAGAGUUGACCUACAACACUCUCUUGGCUCCUGGUACACAACAUAGUGAUUCACUAUUUUUUUUACAUUUCAAAAUGAUCACCACAAAAGUCUAGUUAUGAUAUGUCGCCAUGCAGAGACAUUACGUAAUUAUUGCCUGUACUCCCUGCACGUACAUUUCAUACCCUUGACGCAGAUUUUGCAGCUAAACAUUUGUUACCUCUUAAUCUCCCUCGCCUAUUUUUCUCAUUCCCCCACCCCCCCCGCCCCCGGCUCCUUGCCCUCUGACAACCUCCUGUUUAUUCUUAAUAUCUAUGACUGUUUCUGUUUAGUUAUGUUUGUUUUGGGUUUUUUUUUUUUUUUUAGAUUCCACAUAUAAGGGUCCUCUGACCCUACAGAUCACACUCAAGAAAUCCCAAACCACUCAGUCCCUGUUCAAACUUUAGGGAGCUUGUUUGAGCAUAGAAACAAACCAACAACAACAACAAAAAAGGAGUUCCCAUUGUGGCUCAGUGGUUAAUGAAUCCAACUAGGAAGGAUGAGGUUGUGGGCUCCAUCCCUGGCCUUGCUGAGUGGGUUAAGGAUCCAGCGUUGCCAUGAGCUGUGUUGUGGAUCACAGAGCGGCUUGGAUCUGGCAUUGCUGUGGCUCUGGUGUAGGCCAGCAGCUAUAGCUUUGAUUCAACCCCUAGCCUGGGAACUUCCAUAGGCCACAAGUGCGGCAAAAAAAAAAAAAAAAAAAAAAAAAAAAAAAAA